GGGUAUAUAGCUCAGUGGUAGAGAGCAUGAUUAGCAAGCACGAGGUCCUGGGUUUAGUCCCCAGUACCUCCA
rfam:Camelus ferus unplaced genomic scaffold scaffold56579, whole genome shotgun sequence.